UGCUGCCAUUGUUGGAUUCAUGGGUGGAGCAGCCAUCACAAUUGCGCUUCAACAGCUAAAAGGAUUUCUUGGUAUAAGAAACUUUACCAAGAAUUCUGACAUAAUUUCUGUGAUGAAGUCUGUGCGGAGCUCUGCUCACCAUGGGGUAAAAAAUCUGUUGGUCUCCUUUUUCCUCAGCUAAAGAUUUAGUCAUCGUUGUAUGGUGGUACGGAUAGUUCUUGAUGAAAUUUACCCUUUUGCAGUGGAACUGGCAGACGAUACUGAUAGGUUCGACCUUCCUGGCAUUCCUUCUAUUUGCGAAAUACAUUGUAAGAAUCUAUUUUCGUUUCAUAUGAAUAUCUUGAAAGAUAAUUAGAUUACUUUGUAAUGUUAGUUCUUCUAGGACUCAUGUUGUUUAAGAUCAACAGGGAAAGAAGAAGAAGAGCCUUUUCUGGGUUCCUGCAAUUGCCCCAUUGAUCUCUGUCAUUCUAUCCACCUUGUUUGUGGACAUAACCCAUGCUGAAAACCACGGUGUUCAGAUUGUAAGUUCUUGCCUCAAUGAUAUCCAUUCAAGUGAAGCAGAGUUAGUUUUUUUUUUUUUCUUUCUUUUCUUUUCUUUUAAUCUUUCAAUGGAUUCUAUGGCUGAAACUAACUGAAGUACUAAUGCAUGAAAGGUGAGACACAUAGACAAAGGCAUCAACCCAUCGUCAGUUAAUAAAAUUCAUUUUACCGGUUCAUAUGCUGCGAAAGGUUUCAGAAUUGGACUGGUAGCUGCAAUGGUAGCUUUGACGGUAUGCCCAUCAUAAACCUCGAUCGCCAGCUGUGAGAGAAAUAUGUUUGUCUUGCCUCAACUAAAAUGCUGUGGCCUUAUCAGGAAGCUGUAGCAAUCGGCAGAACAUUUGCUGCCAUGAAAGAAUACCAAUUGGAUGGAAACAAAGAAAUGGUAGCACUAGGAACCAUGAAUGUCAUCGGUUCAAUGACUUCUUGCUAUGUAGCAACAGGUAAACAUACACUGAGUUGGCAAACAUGAAAGUGAAUUGUUAAAAGUAGCGCUUAAAAAAAAAAAAUCUAUCGUUUUAUAUGCAGGUUCCUUUUCACGAUCAGCAGUCAAUUACAUGGCUGGCUGCCAAACAGCAGUCUCCAAUAUGAUUAUGUCAGCAGUAGUACUUCUAACCCUGGAACUAAUCACACCUCUCUUCAAAUACACCCCAAAUGCCAUCCUCGCAUCUAUCAUCAUAUCAGCUGUGAUUGGCCUAAUUGACUAUGAAGCUGCAUAUCUUAUUUGGAAGGUUGAUAAAUUAGACUUUGUUGCCUGCAUGGGAGCUUUCUUUGGUGUAGUCUUUGUAUCAGUUGAGAUUGGCCUUCUAGUUGCUGUAAGAAUCUGGCUACCCUUUUAAAUAUUCACUGGAUGGCUUUGCUAUUGGAACUGAUUUCCACCACCUAAAUAGGUCUCGAUAUCGCUUGCUAAGAUCCUUCUGCAAGUAACAAGGCCAAGGACAGCUUUACUUGGUAAUCUUCCGAGCACUAUGAUAUACAGGAACAUCGAACAAUACCCUGAGGCUACCAAAGUUCCAGGAGUAUUGAUUGUGAGAGUUGAUUCUGCCAUCUACUUCACCAACUCCAACUAUGUCAAAGAGAGGUAAUGACUUGCCGUACCCUCUCGAUGAAUUCGAUCCUUUUGAUUCUUUUUUUUUUUUAAAUUCAGACUAAUAUUUACUCAUUUUAUCUCUAUGGAGCAUAUAUCCGUAUUAAAAAUGAGGUUAAUAUGCAGUUGUCUAGACUUUAGUUGGGCUUUAAGAACAUGCCCAAAGGUUAACAAGUCCUAGCGGUUAGUUCGAUCCUUGCAGCUCAACAACCUGAACCCCUCCCACCUUGCAGUUUGAGUAGCAGGGAAGGCCCGCAGCUCGACUGAAAGCUGCAGGUCGAGCCACAGGACUGAGGCCCAAAACCCAGUAGCUCUGCUUCAUAGAUAGCUGUAUUCUGUAGAUUGGUUUAUACAUCAUUAUGCAUGUAGAAACUCAGAGAUAGUUGUAUAUUGUAGAUUCAUUUCUGUGUUAUUAUGCAUGUGCAUACUUAAACAGGGCUAUAGACCAUCGCCAGUUAUAUUAUUAAGAAUGCUGCAACCAAGCCAUAUCAUCCAAUUCUUUAUUCUAAAACUUUGUUGAUUAAAGCAAGCUCUAAAAUAACUUAAUAUCUACAUUUGGCUUUGCGGAGAAGUUUAGGAAGGCAGCUAAGAAAAAUUGCAACUUUCUGGUGCUACUUCCACCUGAUGUUUCAGUUAUGUUCUUCCAAGAUAGUGCUAGUAUAUGGAUUGAAAAUGCUACCAAUGGUUCAUUUCAUCCAUACUGGGUUCACUGGCUCUGAAGCUAUCCUUUACACAAUUCCAUGGAUCAUGCCAUAUUCAUCUUUAUCUAUUCAUCAUUGUUCUCUUAUACUUGGCCUUAAUAUUUCCACAGAUUCACCAUUUUAUGGGUAUAGCUUGAAUUUUUGGUUCGGAAACUCAAAACUUGCACAAGCAUGCACAAGCUAAUUCUGCAAAAAAUAAGUAGAAAAACAUAAAUUGAUCUAACCUACUGAUUCUAGUGAACUCACCAAGGAUUUUGAAAGUUUUAAGUGACUUUAAGUGCUUCACCUCUUGUUCCUACCCUUCUUUCAGAUUGUGCUUGGAGGUGCAUAGAUCCUCAAACCUACUCAUUCCUAAUGAUUAGAUUAUAUGAUGUGGUAGCUAAUGGCCAUUUAUGAACAAAUGAACAACAGUGUUCAGGCUAUCCAAGUCAUACUCUACAGCUGCAUCUUUGUGAAAAGUCACUGUUAGUAUUUCUUUUGUUCCCUUGAACUUUAACACAGACCAUAUCCUUGGAUACUCUCGCUUUGUUAAAAAUUUCUAUAGUAAUCAAAAUCAGCCUUUUCUCAUCUCUUGUAAACUACCUUCAGUUAUAUUUUAAUUUAACCCUCCUUCUCUCUCCCACAAAAACCUAGGGUUAUUUUCAAAAAUUUCAACUAGACUACAUUAAUCUACUAAUGAACUAGAAGUAUCUGCUAUCACAGAACUGCAGAAAACUUGUAACAAGUCAAUGUUCUAUUUCAGGAUCCUAAGAUGGCUGCGAGACGAAGAAGAACAACUUAAAGCAAAACAACUACCGAAGAUCGAAUUCUUGAUUGUUGAAAUGUCACGUAAGAGAUCUCACCUUGCUUCCAUAUUCUCCUAUACCGGUCUUCUAAAUUGAUCUAGACCUCAUGCAUGCGAGUCAUUCACUACUCGAUCCGAUCCUCUCUGCAGCGGUGACUGACAUCGACACCAGCGGCAUCCAUGCCUUCGAAGAGUUGCACAAGAGUCUUCAAAAGCGCAGCAUUCAGGUUAGAACAAAACUCUCAUAUCAUACUACUGUAUCUCAAAUAAUGGCAGACAGUAGUAAAGGGAUAAGAUUGGAAGCAUGGCUUACAAGUCGGUAUGUUUUCCUUCAGCUUGUUCUUGCCAAUCCUGGGCCUGUGGUGAUCGACAAGCUCCGCUUGGCCGAGUUCACAGAGCUCAUAGGCCAUGAC
rnacentral:lncRNA from 1 species